AAUUCGAAUGUGGGAGUCAAAGUUGUG
rnacentral:piRNA from 1 species